rnacentral:tmRNA from 1 species
GGGGAUGUUUUUGGUUUUGACAGCAAGGUUAGAUUGAAAUGCAAGCACGUCGAGCGUUGAGGGUGUGGCUCGUAAAUCCCAAUUCUCAAGCCAUUAAUUGGCAACAACAACUAUGCACUCGCGGCCUGAUACACCAAGUGUAACGGCUUAAUCCGGUAACCCAAGGCGGUUGUCGGACGAGAAUCUCGCAAAAGACUAGCCCUUCGGUUUUUUGAUUUUGAGGUUUCAUUUUAGGAAAGGACAGUAUGCGGCGACGCCUUUAACCGUGUAUGAAAAUUUAAAGGAUAAGGAUAAAACCGAUAGCUUCUUGUCAAGUUCUAUCCCGACAAUUGAAAAGAAGAUAAGCGUGUAGAAAACGUUUUGGCCACUUGUUUGGACGCGGGUUCGACUCCCGCCAUCUCCACAA